AGAGAAAGGGGGGUUAUCCUCCGAUGAGGCCUCGAGGUGCCUAUCAGUGCAGUGACUCAACCAAACAGGUGUGAGAAAAGGCCAGCAAUGCGUCCCAGGGGCUGAGGUGCCUCGGGGAGCAUUUUGGCAGGAAGUGGAUGGUAAAAAGAGCACGUCCAGAGCCCGGACGCAUGCGCACGUUAGCUCCGACCGGAAGUGCGCGAGGUCAGAGGGAAGCAGAAGUUGGGGCUGAGGUGUUCCGGCUGAGAAGAGUGUUGGAUGCAGAUGCUGAAAUUUGGGAUCCUGCCCACACCAUGGAGCUAACAGGGCCAGAGGAGGAGUCGGUGUUUAAUUGGAAAUUGAGUUGGAGCUGAAAAUUGCCAUAUCCACAGGUCAUCCCUUGGGAGAACAAGUGCUGUGUCUUCCGUUCUUUGAAUCCUGUGAAUGGCCUGACCCAUGAGAAACUCAAAAGGAGGAAGCUCCUCCUUCCUGGAAAACUGUCACAGUGCCUUCAGUUCACAAAAUGGAGCAAGUAGAGAAGGCGGCUGGUGUCUCCGACGAGGCUGGUGGUCACUGAAGCACCACCGUGCAAUGGUAGGAAAUGAGGAGAGAGAAGCCGGGUCCCCAGCCUGGGAAGUGGGGGUGCAGCAGCCGAGCCAAGGCUGGCACAGGUUGGGGGCCAAGGGGAGGAGUUCCCUGAUGACCAGUGCUUUUCGGGGCCUCGGUAGUGGUUGGAAGAAAUUGUCUAGAAGAAAGAAAAUCAGAUGAUAGCAAGUGGUCACUCCUAAGGCUGCGGAAAUGGGGCAUCUUUUCACCCAGCAUCUGGGUGCCCACCAUUCUUUUGCUGUCCUACCUGUUCACCUGUGGUGCCCCUCACUUUUGCUCCACCUAAAACAAUGCUUGUGGUUCUGCCGAGCUAAGCUAUCACCUCUCGCCCAGGUAGCCUCACUGCAUCCGGCCUCUGAACCUUUCCGCCAGGAGGCUCCUCUCUCUCAGAUUCCCCUGUAACACCUCUAUCCCUCUCCCGGUGCUCAGUCUGGAACACAAGUUUCUCCCGCUCAGAGCUGUGCCUAUGUGACUCCAGCUUAGGGUGAUUUCCGAGGGUCAUUUCUUUUCAGCUUAGGGUGAUUUCCGAGGGUCAUUUCUUUUCUUUCUUUCUUUCUUCCUUUAUUUCUUUCUCUUUUUCUUUCCUUCUUUUCUUUCUUCGUUUCUUUCUCUCUUUUCUUUCCUUCCUUCCUUCCUUUUCUUUCUUUUCCUUCCUUCCUUCCUUCUUCUUUCUUUCUCUCUUUUCUUCCAUCCUUUCUUUCUUUCUCCACAGGGUCUGGCUCUGUUGCCGAGACUGGAGUGCAGUGGUGUGAUCAUAGCUCACUGUAGCUUUGAUCUCCUGGGCUCAAGCAAUCUUCCUGCCUCAGCCUCCCAAGUAGCUGGGACUACAGGCAUGUACCACCAUGCCUGGCUAAUGUUUUUUGUUUGAUUGUUUGUUUUGAGAUAAGGUCUCGUUCUGAGUGCCCAGGCUGGAGUGCAGUGGCAUGAUUGCAGUUCACUGCAGCCUCAACCUCCCAAGCUCAGGUGAUUCUCCCACCUCAGCCUUCAGAGUAUCUGGGAUUACAGUCAUGCACCACCCUGCCUGGCUGAUUUUUUGUGUUUUUAGUAGAGAUGGGGUUUUGCCAUGUUUCCCAAGCUGGAAUGGUCUGGUUUGGUUUGCUUUGUGAUGGAGUUUCACUCUUGUUGCUCAGGCUGGAGUGCAAUGGCAUGAUGUCAGCUCACCGCAACCUCCGCCUCCUGGGUUCAAGUGAUCCUCCUACCUCAGCUUCCCGAGUAGCUGGGAUUACAGGCAUGUGCCACCAUGCCCGGCUAAU